AUUGAACGCUGGCGGCAGGCCUAACACAUGCAAGUCGAGCGGAUGAAGGGAGCUUGCUCCUGGAUUCAGCGGCGGACGGGUGAGUAAUGCCUAGGAAUCUGCCUGGUAGUGGGGGAUAACGUCCGGAAACGGGCGCUAAUACCGCAUACGUCCUGAGGGAGAAAGUGGGGGAUCUUCGGACCUCACGCUAUCAGAUGAGCCUAGGUCGGAUUAGCUAGUUGGUGGGGUAAAGGCCUACCAAGGCGACGAUCCGUAACUGGUCUGAGAGGAUAUCAGUCACACUGGAACUGAGACACGGUCCAGACUCCUACGGGAGGCAGCAGUGGGGAAUAUUGGACAAUGGGCGAAAGCCUGAUCCAGCCAUGCCGCGUGUGUGAAGAAGGUCUUCGGAUUGUAAAGCACUUUAAGUUGGGAGGAAGGGCAGUAAGUUAAUACCUUGCUGUUUUGACGUUACCAACAGAAUAAGCACCGGCUAACUUCGUG
rnacentral:rRNA from 1 species